rnacentral:rRNA from 1 species
GACGAACGCUGGCGGCGUGCCUAAUACAUGCAAGUAGAACGCACAGUUUAUACCGUAGCUUGCUACACCAUAGACUGUGAGUUGCGAACGGGUGAGUAACGCGUAGGUAACCUGCCUGGUAGCGGGGGAUAACUAUUGGAAACGAUAGCUAAUACCGCAUAAUAUUGAUUAUUGCAUGAUAAUUGAUGGAAAGAUGCUAUUGCAUCACUACCAGAUGGACCUGCGUUGUAUUAGCUAGUAGGGGAGGUAACGGCUCACCUAGGCGACGAUACACAGCCGACCUUGGAAGGUGGUCGGCCCCACUGGGACCUGGACACGGCCCAGGCUCCUUCGGGGAGCCGCCGUAGGGGAUCUUCGGCAAUAGACGGAAGUCUGACCGAGCAACGCCGCGUGAGUGGAGAAGGUUUUCGGAUCGUAAAGCUCUGUUGUUAGAGGAGAACGGGUGUGGGAGUGGAAAGUUCACACUGUGACGGUAUCUGACCAGAAAGGGACGGCUAACUACGUG